rnacentral:rRNA from 1 species
AUUGAACGCUGGCGGAAUGCUUUACACAUGCAAGUCGAGCGGCAGCGCGGGGGCAACCCUGGCGGCGAGCGGCGAACGGGUGAGUAACAUAUCGGAACGUACCCAGUCGUGGGGGAUAACUAUCCGAAAGGAUAGCUAAUACCGCAUACGACCUGAGGGUGAAAGCGGGGGACCGAAAGGCCUCGCGCGAUUGGAGCGGCCGAUAUCGGAUUAGCUAGUUGGUGAGGUAAAGGCUCACCAAGGCGACGAUCCGUAGCUGGUCUGAGAGGACGACCAGCCACACUGGAACUGAGACACGGUCCAGACUCCUACGGGAGGCAGCAGUGGGGAAUAUUGCGCAAUGGGGGAAACCCUGACGCAGCGACGCCGCGUGAGCGAAGAAGGCCUUAGGGUCGUAAAGCUCUGUUGUAAGGGACGAAUGUUUAUCUGGCGAACAGUCAGAUAAAGUGACGGUACCUUACCAGCAAAGCCCCGGCUAACUACGUGCCAGCAGCCGCGGUAAAAGUGU